rnacentral:rRNA from 1 species
GACGAACGCUGGCGGCGCGCCUAACACAUGCAAGUCGAACGGAGCCGAGAGAAGCUUGCUUUUCUUAGCUUAGUGGCGAACGGGUGAGUAACGCGUGAGUAACCUGCCCUGGAGUGGGGGACAACAGUUGGAAACGACUGCUAAUACCGCAUAAGCCACGAUCCGGCAUCGGAUUGAGGGAAAAGGAUUUAUUCGCUUCAGGAUGGACUCGCGUCCAAUUAGCUAGUUGGUGAGGUAACGGCCCACCAAGGCGACGAUUGGUAGCCGGACUGAGAGGUUGAACGGCCACAUUGGGACUGAGACACGGCCCAGACUCCUACGGGAGGCAGCAGUGGGGGAUAUUGCACAAUGGGGGAAACCCUGAUGCAGCGACGCCGCGUGGAGGAAGAAGGUUUUCGGAUUGUAAACUCCUGUCGUUAGGGACGAUAAUGACGGUACCUAACAAGAAAGCACCGGCUAACUACGUG